UACAGAGGUCUCAAGCGUUGUUCGGAUUCAUUGGGCGUAAAGGGUGCGUAGGCGGCGCGGUAAGUCGGGUGUGAAAUCUCGGAGCUUAACUCCGAAACUGCAUUCAAUACUGCCGUGCUUGAGGACUGGAGAGGAGACUGGAAUUUACGGUGUAGCGGUGAAAUGCGUAGAUAUCGUAAGGAAGACCAGUGGCGAAGGCGGGUCUCUGGACAGUUCCUGACGCUGAGGCACGAAGGCCAGGGGAGCAAACGGG
rnacentral:rRNA from 1 species